rnacentral:misc_RNA from 1 species
UCUCCGUAGGUGAACCUGCGGAGGGAUCAUUACAGAGUUCAUGCCCUACCGGGUAGAUCUCCCACCCUAUGUUAUUAUUACUUUGUUGCUUUGGCGGGCCGCUAGGCUCCGGCCCGACUACCGGCCCCGGCUGGUAAGCGCCCGCCAGAGGACCCAAAACCCUGAAUUUUAGUGUCGUCUGAGUACUAUAUAAUAGUUAAAACUUUCAACAACGGAUCUCUUGGUUCUG